GACGAACGCUGGCGGCGUGCUUAACACAUGCAAGUCGAACGGAAAGGCCCCUUUGGGGGUACUCGAGUGGCGAACGGGUGAGUAACACGUGAGUAACCUGCCCUUGACUUCGGGAUAACUUCAGGAAACUGGGGCUAAUACCGGAUAGGAAUCCUUGCUGCAUGGUGGGGGUUGGAAAGCUUCGGCGGUUUUGGAUGGACUCGCGGCUUAUCAGCUUGUUGGUGGGGUAGUGGCUUACCAAGGCUUUGACGGGUAGCCGGCCUGAGAGGGCGACCGGCCACCUUGGGGCUGAGACACGGCCGAAGCCCCCAGGGGGGGCAUGAGUGGGGAAUAUUCCACAAUGGGCGGAACCCUGAUGCAAGAACGCCGGGGGGGGAGUGACUGCCUUCGGGUUGUAAACCGGUUUCAGCAGGGGCGAAGCUUGUGGGGGCGGGACCUACAGAAAAAGCACCGGCUAAAUCAGG
rnacentral:rRNA from 1 species